rnacentral:rRNA from 1 species
GUGGGGAAUCUUGCGCAAUGGGCGAAAGCCUGACGCAGCCAUGCCGCGUGAAUGAUGAAGGUCUUAGGAUUGUAAAAUUCUUUCACCGGGGACGAUAAUGACGGUACCCGGAGAAGAAGCCCCGGCUAACUUCGUGCCAGCAGCCGCGGUAAUACGAAGGGGGCUAGCGUUGCUCGGAAUUACUGGGCGUAAAGGGCGCGUAGGCGGACAGCUUAGUCAGAGGUGAAAGCCCAGGGCUCAACCUUGGAAUUGCCUUUGAUACUGGCUGUCUUGAGUGUGGGAGAGGUGAGUGGAACUCCGAGUGUAGAGGUGAAAUUCGUAGAUAUUCGGAAGAACACCAGUGGCGAAGGCGACUCACUGGCCCAAUACUGACGCUGAGGCGCGAAAGCGUGGGGAGCAAACAGGAUUAGAAACCCCGGUAGUCC